rfam:Scleropages formosus scaffold446, whole genome shotgun sequence.
ACAGCUUGGACAAAAGUCUGCAGCCAGAGCAUUCCUAGCUUCCCUUGCACUCUGGCUGACUGAGGCAGGGGGAAGACAUGCCAGUCUUGUGCUCUGCUCCUCUUUAAAAAGGGCUCUGCUGCAGCUCGCAGGUGAAGCUCCUGCUUCCACCUGUAUGGGCUCUGGGUUUGGGGAAAUCCUUGGAUGUACCUGCACGCCUAGGCCCUAGAAAGUGAGCUUC